GUGAGCUGGGAAGACAGCUUCGCUGGAUCAACCGGUGGGGAAGUCCAUACACCCGUUAAAACACUGCCGCAAGGCAGGAAACCGAGAGGUUUCUAACCGGACGCAGAAAACAACUGUUGUUUUGGAACAAUGACGCAGAAAUGCUGAGAAAUGAAGGAACAAACAGGUGAGAAUGUCCGGUUGUGUUGGGUGCAAGCCGUUGGCGCUAAGACAAAUGCUGUCGGCACGUUCCUUUUUGGCGUGCUCACAGAAUAUGGGCUAUUCCCAGCACAC
rnacentral:RNase_P_RNA from 1 species